CCUACGGGAGGCAGCAGUGAGGAAUCUUGGUCAAUGGACGAGAGUCUGAACCAGCCAAGCAGCGUGAAGGAUGACUGCUCUCUGGUUUGUAAACUUCUUUUAUAUGGGAAUAAAAUGUUCCACGUGAGUGAUUUUGUAUGUACCGUAUGAAUCCAGAUCGGCUAACUUCGCGCCAGCAGCCGCGGUAAUAUGGAGGAUGCGAGCGUUAUCCGGAUUUAUUGGGUUUAAAGGGAGCGUAGGUGGAUUGUUAAGUUAGUUGUGAAAGUCUGCGGAUCAACCGUAAAAGUGCAGUUGAAACUGGCAGUCUUGAGUGCAGUAGAGGUGGGCGGAAUUCGUGGUGUAGCGGUGAAAUGCUUAGAUA
rnacentral:rRNA from 1 species